AGUGAACGCUGGCGGUAGGCCUAACACAUGCAAGUCGAACGGCAGCACAGUAGAUCGUGGCGUUACGGGGGGCGAGUCGUGGGAGGGUGCCGUAUACCUCGGAAUAAACCUUUUAGAGGGGGGUUAAGAUGGGAAAAGUACGCCGAGACCACGAUAGAUCUCCGGGUGAAAGGCGGGGGUCUUCUGACCUUGUCGGUGUGGAAUCGGCGAAGGUCGGUUAAGUUCGUUGGCGGGUAAAAGGCCCACAAAGGCGACGAUCGGUAGCUGGUCUGAGAGGAUGAUCAGCCACACUGGAACUGAGACACGGUCCAGACUCCUACGGGAGGCAGCAGUGGGGAAUAUUGGACAAUGGGCGCAAGCCUGAUCCAGCCAUACCGGGUGGGUGAAGAAGGCCUUCUGGUUGUAAAGCCCUUUUGUUGGGAAAGAAAAGCAGCAGGUUAAUACCCCGCUGUUCUGACGGUACCCAAAGAAUAAGCACCGGCUAACUUCGUG
rnacentral:rRNA from 1 species